rnacentral:rRNA from 1 species
GACGAACGCUGGCGGCGUGCUUAACACAUGCAAGUCGAGCGGAAAGAUCCUGCUUUUGUUGCUUGCUCGAUAGGCGAACGGGUGUGUAACACGUGAGUAUCCUGUCCUUAUCAUUGUGGUAACUUUUGGAAACUGGGGCUAAUAUCGGAUAGGAUCUACUGAUGCGUGUUGUUCGAUGGAGAAUUUCGGCGGUUGUGGAUGGACUCGCUGCUUAUCAGCUUGUUGGUGGGGUAGUGGAGUACCAGGGUUUUGACGGGUAGCCGGCCUGAGAGGGUGACCGGCCACAUUGGGACUGAGAUACGGCCCAGACUCCUACGGGAGGCAGCAGUGGGGAAUAUUGCACAAUGGGCGGAAGCCUGAUGCAGCAACGCCGCGUGCGGGAUGACGGCCUUCGGGUUGUAAACCGCUUUCGCCUGUGACGAAGCGUGAGUGACGGUAAUGGGUAAAGAAGCACCGGCUAACUACGUG